UACGAAGGGUGCAAGCGUUACUCGGAAUUACUGGGCGUAAAGCGUGCGUAGGUGGUUGGUUAAGUCUGUCGUGAAAGCCCUGGGCUCAACCUGGGAACUGCGAUGGAAACUGGCUGACUAGAGUGUGGUAGAGGGUAGCGGAAUUCCUGGUGUAGCAGUGAAAUGCGUAGAUAUCAGGAGGAACAUCCAUGGCGAAGGCAGCUACCUGGGCCAACACUGACACUGAGGCACGAAAGCGUGGGGAGCAAACAGGAUUAGAUA
rnacentral:rRNA from 1 species